rnacentral:rRNA from 1 species
UAGGGAAUCUUCGGCAAUGGGGGCAACCCUGACCGAGCAACGCCGCGUGAGUGAAGAAGGUUUUCGGAUCGUAAAGCUCUGUUGUAAGAGAAGAACGUGUGUGAGAGUGGAAAGUUCACACAGUGACGGUAACUUACCAGAAAGGGACGGCUAACUACGUGCCAGCAGCCGCGGUAAUACGUAGGUCCCGAGCGUUGUCCGGAUUUAUUGGGCGUAAAGCGAGCGCAGGCGGUUUAAUAAGUCUGAAGUUAAAGGCAGUGGCUUAACCAUUGUUCGCUUUGGAAACUGUUAAACUUGAGUGCAGAAGGGGGGAGUGGAAUUCCAUGUGUAGCGGUGAAAUGCGUAGAUAUAUGGGGGAACACCGGUGGCGAAAGCGGCUCUCUGGUCUGUAACUGACGCUGAGGCUCGAAAGCGUGGGGAGCAAACAGG